CCCACCCCCAAGCAAGGAUGUUAGUUUGUAGGAAUGACAGUGUGUGGAGGAUCAUGGCUCUUGGCUGGGCUUCACAGGGAAAGCCCCAAGACUUUUUUCCCCCCAAAGCCCCCCGGCACACAGUUGUAUAUUUUGGUUGUGGGUCCUUCCAGUUGUGGCAUGUGGGAUGCCGCCUCAGCAUGGCCUGAUGAGCAGUGCCAUGUCCACACCCAGGAUUCGAAGCUGUGAAACCCUGGGAUGCCGAAGCGGAGCGCGCAAACUUAAUCACUUGGCCACGGGGCUGGCCCCAGCCCCAAGACUUUUGAUAUGUCUCUUGGGGACUGCAGGGCUCCCAGGCCACAGGAGGACAACAAGUCCAGAGCCCAUGUCAUCAGACUUUCUCAAGUCACAGGCCAAAUUGGAGAGGCCACAUGCCCGAAGCCACCCAGAGGGGUCAAGCAAAGCCAGGACUCCAGGCAGCAAAUCUUCCUUAUGUCCUUCCUGCAUGUGAGGCCCUGAGCAGAGUGCCAGGGAUGAGGAGGAACAGACAGAGCAGCAGCUGCCCUCACCGCCCAGUGGCAGAUGUGAGCAAGUUAUCAACUCUAGCACAACAGGAGAGCCCUUACCUGCAGCUGGGGAGACCGGGGACCUCCUGGCUGAAGUGACCUUUAAGCCAAGGCCUCAAAGCUGAAGAGGAAUGUGUUUUCCCAAGAUAAAUGCAAAGGCUGAGGAUCAAGAAAAAAACAGGUGUGAGUUUGGGUAUGUUGUGGUCUCAGUUUCCUCAUCUCUUGAAUGGACUUCCUGCUC
rnacentral:lncRNA from 1 species